rnacentral:rRNA from 1 species
UGCAAGUCGAACGGCAGCGCGAGAGAGCUUGCUCUCUUGGCGGCGAGUGGCGGACGGGUGAGUAAUAUAUCGGAACGUGCCCAGUAGCGGGGGAUAACUACUCGAAAGAGUGGCUAAUACCGCAUACGCCCUACGGGGGAAAGGGGGGGAUCGCAAGACCUCUCACUAUUGGAGCGGCCGAUAUCGGAUUAGCUAGUUGGUGGGGUAAAGGCUCACCAAGGCAACGAUCCGUAGCUGGUUUGAGAGGACGACCAGCCACACUGGGACUGAGACACGGCCCAGACUCCUACGGGAGGCAGCAGUGGGGAAUUUUGGACAAUGGGGGAAACCCUGAUCCAGCCAUCCCGCGUGUAUGAUGAAGGCCUUCGGGUUGUAAAGUACUUUUGGCAGAGAAGAAAAGGUACCUCCUAAUACGAGGUACUGCUGACGGUAUCUGCAGAAUAAGCACCGGCUAACUACGUGCCAGCAGCCGCGGUAAUACGUAGGGUGCAAGCGUUAAUCGGAAUUACUGGGCGUAAAGCGUGUGUAGGCGGUUCGGAAAGAAAGAUGUGAAAUCCCAGGGCUCAACCUUGGAACUGCAUUUUUAACUGCCGAGCUAGAGUAUGUCAGAGGGGGGUAGAAUUCCACGUGUAGCAGUGAAAUGCGUAGAUAUGUGGAGGAAUACCGAUGGCGAAGGCAGCCCCCUGGGAUAAUACUGACGCUCAGACAMGAAAGCGUGGGGAGCAAACAGGAUUAGAUACCCUGGUAGUCCACGCCCUAAACGAUGUCAACUAGCUGUUGGGGCCGUUAGGCCUUAGUAGCGCAGCUAACGCGUGAAGUUGACCGCCUGGGGAGUACSGUCGCAAGAUUAAAACUCAAAGGAAUUGACGGGGACCCGCACAAGCGGUGGAUGAUGUGGAUUAAUUCGAUGCAACGCGAAAAACCUUACCUACSCUUGACAUGUCUGGAAAGCCGAAGAGAUUUGGCCGUGCUCGYAAGAGAACCGGAACACAGSUGCUGCAUGGCUGUCGUCAGCUCGUGUCGUGARAUGUUGGGUUAAGUCCCGCAACGAGCGCAACCCUUGUCAUUAGUUGCUACGCAAGAGCACUCUAAUGAGACUGCCGGUGACAAACCGGAGGAAGGUGGGGAUGACGUCAAGUCCUCAUGGCCCUUAUGGGUAGGGCUUCACACGUCAUACAAUGGUCGGGACAGAGGGUCGCCAACCCGCGAGGGGGAGCCAAUCUCAGAAACCCGAUCGUAGUCCGGAUCGCAGUCUGCAACUCGACUGCGUGAAGUCGGAAUCGCUAGUAAUCGCGGAUCAGAAUGUCGCGGUGAAUACGUUCCCGGGUCUUGUACACACCGCCCGUCACACCAUGGGAGUGGGUUUCACCAGAAGUAGGUAGCCUAACCGUAAGGAGG